AGCCAUGCGGUGAGCACAGAGCGAACUAUUCUUUCGCCUUUUACUAAAGAAUACCGUGUGUUCGCCGCUCAACGUGGCAUACACCAAUUGUUUUAAGGGGUGGACUGCAGUUGAAUCCU